GACGAACGCUGGCGGCGUGCUUAACACAUGCAAGUCGAACGGAAAGGCCCUGCUUUUGUGGGGUGCUCGAGUGGCGAACGGGUGCGUAACACGUGAGUAACCUGCCCUUGACUUUGGGAUAACUUCAGGAAACUGGGGCUAAUACCGGAUAGGAGCUCCUGCUGCAUGGUGGGGGUUGGAAAGUUUCGGCGGUUGGGGAUGGACUCGCGGCUUAUCAGCUUGUUGGUGGGGUAGUGGCUUACCAAGGCUUUGACGGGUAGCCGGCCUGAGAGGGUGACCGGGCACAUUGGGACUGAGAUACGGCCCAGACUCCUACGGGAGGCAGCAGUGGGGAAUAUUGCACAAUGGGCGGAAGCCGGAUGCAGCAACGCCGCGUGCGGGAUGACGGCCUUCGGGUUGUAAACCGCUUUCGCCUGUGACGAAGCGGGAGUGACGGUAAUGGGUAAAGAAGCACCGGCUAACUACGUG
rnacentral:rRNA from 1 species